rnacentral:rRNA from 1 species
CAAUAGCGUAUAUUAAAGUUGUUGCAGUUAAAAAGCUCGUAGUUGGACCUUGGACCUGGACAGGCGGUCCGCCUCACGGCGUGUACUGCCUUGCUGGGUCUUUCCUCUUGGUGAUCUGUUGUUUCGGCAGCAGGGAACCAGGACUUUUACUUUGAAAAAAUUAGAGUGUUCAAAGCAGGCUCGACGCCGGAAUAUAUUAGCAUGGAAUAAUAAAAUAGGACGUGCGGUUCUAUUUUGUUGGUUUUUGGAAUCGCCGUAAUGAUUAAUAGGGACAGUCGGGGGCAUUAGUACUCACAUGCUAGAGGUGAAAUUCUUGGAUUUUGUGAAGACUAACUUCUGCGAAAGCAUUUGCCAAGGAUGUUUUCAUUAA